GGAGGGGACAGCUCAGUGGUAGAGUAAGUGCUUAGCAUGCAUGAGGUCCUGGGUUCAAUGCCCAGUCCCUCCC
rfam:Camelus ferus unplaced genomic scaffold scaffold2421, whole genome shotgun sequence.